rnacentral:lncRNA from 1 species
CCUGACUAUGGCACAUAUUUGCUACAGACAACACUUUCCUAGUGUGUACGAUGAAUACAGUAAGUUCCGAUUUCCAAAUGUUUGCAAACGUAGAUUCUUACCGUGGCAUCUCCAGGCUUUUCUCCAUAUCCCGAGAGAUGUGCUCCGGCCGACUGGCCACCACCACGAGCCAACAGUAGCGUUAGAGAUCUAGAGAACGGGAGAGAUGUGGAGAUCUCCAGAUUAUAGCUGCGACUGUGAUGGGUGUAUACUCUGCUGGUAUGCGUU